UACGUAGGCAGCAAGCGUUGUUCGGAGUUACUGGGCGUAAAGGGUGUGUAGGCGGUCGGAUAAGUGUGGUGUGAAAUCUCCCGGCUCAACUGGGAGGGUGCGCUACAAACUGUCUGGCUAGAGUGCGGGAUGGGAAAGUGGAAUUCCUGGUGUAGCGGUGAAAUGCGUAGAUAUCAGGAGGAACACCGGUGGUGUAGACGGCUCGCUGGACCGGUUCUGACGCUGAGGCGCGAAAGCGUGGGGAGCAAACGGG
rnacentral:rRNA from 1 species